CUGACCUUAGCUCAGUUGGUAGAGCGGAGGAUUACAGUAGGGCAAAACCUAAACAAUUAAUCCUGAGGCGCUGUUUUGAAUCCGGCAGGUCUGG
rnacentral:tRNA from 1 species